CGGCGUGCCUAACACAUGCAAGUCGAACGUUCUCUCGCUCUUCGGAGUGAGAGGGAGUGGCGGACGGGUGAGUAACACAUAGGUGACCUCUCUUUCAGUGAGGAAUACCGGCGAGAAAUCGCCGACAAUUCCGCAUGCGUUCCUUCCACCACGGAAGGAAGAAAGUCCUUCGGGACGCUGGAAGCUGGGCCUGUGGCCGAUUAGCUAGUUGGUGGGGUAAAAGCCUACCAAGGCGACGAUCGGUAGCUGGUCUGAGAGGACGGACAGCCACACUGGGAUUGAGAACGGCCCAGACUCCUACGGGGGGCAGCAGUGAGGAAUUUUCCGCAAUGGGCGCAAGCCUGACGGAGCAACGCCGCGUGCAGGAGGACGGCCUUCGGGUUGUAAACUGCUUUUCGCAAGGACGAGCAAGGGCGGUACUUGCGGAAUCAGCCCCGGCUAACUACGUGCCAGCAGCCGCGGUAAUACGUAGGGGGCAAGCGUUGUCCGGAGUUACUGGGCGUAAAGCGCACGCAGGCGGUCGUGCAAGUUUGGGGUGACAGCUUCCGGCUUCACUGGAAGAGGACCUCGAAGACUGUGCGACUUGAGGGGUUCAGAGGGACCGAGAAUUCCGGGUGGAGUGGUGAAAUGCGUAGAUAUCCGGAGGAAUACCCAAGGCGAAGGCAUGGUCCUGGGAACCAUCUGACGCUCAGGUGCGAAAGCGAGGGGGGCGAACGGGAUUAGAUACCCCGGUAGUCCUCGCCGUAAACGAUGACCACUAGGCGUGGGAGGUAUCGACCCCUUCCGUGUCGGCGUUAACACACUAAGUGGUCCGCCUGGGGAGUACGGUCGCAAGAUUAAAACUCAAAGGAAUUGACGGGGACCCGCACAAGCAGCGGAGCGUGUGGUUUAAUUCGAAGCAACGCGCAGAACCUUACCAGGGCUAGAAAUCCUACUGCACGCCUAGCGAAAGCUAGGAAGCCUUCGAGGGUGUAGGACAGGUGAUGCAUGGCUGUCGUCAAUUCGUGGUUUGAAUCGUUCCCUUCAGUGGGGUAACGAACGCAACCCUCGUUGCCUGUUACACGUAUCAGGCGAGACUGCCCCCUCACGGGGGAGGAAGGUGGGGAUGACGCCAAGUCAGCAUGUCCCUCUGAUGUCCUGGGCUGCACACGCGCUACAAUCGCCGUUACAAAAGGGCGCGACGGGGUAACCCUGAGCAAAUCCUCUAAAAGCGGCGCCAGUUCGGAUUGAGGUCUGCAACCCGACCUCAUGAAGCCGGAAUCGCUAGUAAUCGUGGGUCAGCCAUACCACGGUGAAUACGUUCUCAAGCUUUGUACUCACCGCCCGUCAAGUCAGGGAAGUUGGGAGUGCCCAAAGCCG
rnacentral:rRNA from 1 species